UACAGAGGUCUCAAGCGUUGUUCGGAUUCAUUGGGCGUAAAGGGUGCGUAGGCGGCCAGGUAGGUCUGCUGUGAAAACUCGAGGCUCAACCUCGAGACGUCGGCGGAAACCAUCUGGCUAGAGUCCGGAAGAGGAGAGUGGAAUUCCUGGUGUAGCGGUGAAAUGCGCAGAUAUCAGGAAGAACACCCGUGGCGAAGGCGGCUCUCUGGGACGGUACUGACGCUGAGACGCGAAAGCGUGGGGAGCGAACAGG
rnacentral:rRNA from 1 species